rnacentral:lncRNA from 1 species
GUUCUGCACGCGCACUUCCGCGGUCGGCCGCGUGAGCCCCGGCGCGGUGGGCCUGAGCUGGAGGGUAUGUUCUCAGGAGGGAAAUAACAUCUCUGCAAUUUCACGCCUGUCAAGUCCUUGGCUUUCAUCUCAUAACUGGUUCAUGACUUGGUACAUGAAGGAAGGAAUUCAAAGUGCCGUGAUUGAGGGACAUGAUAACUCAUGUGUGAAAAGGAAGAAGAGGCCUCAGGACUAGGGGUGCCUUGUCAGUUUACAGACAUUUGACCAGAGGCCUCUGCAGAGCGUCAGGACGGAGAGAAGUCACAGAACGAGCAGAUUUUCCAAGCAGCAGAAAAUGAUCAAGUCACAGGUGAGUUAUUUGUUCUCCAAUAGUUUUUUUCCCAUAGAUGUGACAAAGCUCAUGGGAAAGUACUAAAUACAUUUAAAUCGUAAUCAGAA